AUGUUCUAACGUGGACCCGUAAUCCGGGUUGCGGACAGUGUCUGGUGGGUAGUUUGACUGGGGCGGUCUCCUCCUAAAGAGUAACGGAGGAGCACGAAGGUUGGCUAAUCCUGGUCGGACAUCAGGAGGUUAGUGCAAUGGCAUAAGCCAGCUUGACUGCGAGCGUGACGGCGCGAGCAGGUGCGAAAGCAGGUCAUAGUGAUCCGGUGGUUCUGAAUGGAAGGGCCAUCGCUCAACGGAUAAAAGGUACUCCGGGGAUAACAGGCUGAUACCGCCCAAGAGUUCAUAUCGACGGCGGUGUUUGGCACCUCGAUGUCGGCUCAUCACAUCCUGGGGCUGAAGUAGGUCCCAAGGGUAUGGCUGUUCGCCAUUUAAAGUGGUACGCGAGCUGGGUUUAGAACGUCGUGAGACAGUUCGGUCCCUA
rnacentral:rRNA from 1 species